AUUGAACGCUGGCGGCGUGCUUAACACAUGCAAGUCGUGCGAGAAAGGGGACUUCGGUCCCUGAGUAGAGCGGCGCACGGGUGAGUAACGCGUGGAUUAUCUACCCAGAUAUUCGGGAUAACGGCGGGAAACUGCCGCUAAUACCGGAUACGCUCCAAUUUCGGUUGGGGGAAAGGCGGCCUCUGCUUGCAAGCUGUCGUAUCUGGAUGAGUCCGGGUCCCAUUAGCUUGUUGGCGGGGUAAUGGCCCCCCAAGGCUACGAUGGGUAGCUGGUCUGAGGGGAUGAUCAGCCACACUGGAACUGAAACACGGUCCAGACUCCUACGGGAGGCAGCAGUGGGGAAUAUUGCGCAAUGGGGGAAACCCUGACGCAGCGACGCCGUGUGAGGGAAGAAGGCUUUCGGGUCGUAAACCUCUGUCGGGAGGGAAGAACCUUCCAGGUCUGAAUAAGCCCUGGAACUGACGGUACCUCCAAAGGAAGCACCGGCUAACUCCGUGCCAGCAGCCGCCGUAAAAC
rnacentral:rRNA from 1 species